UGGACAAGGCAGCUGACGGUAACGUAGGCGAGCCCGGAGACGCCGGCGGUGACCCUGGGGAGAGUUCUCUUUUCUUUUUAACAGCUCGAAGGCCCUGGAAUCGGCUCAUCCGGAGAUAGGGCCCAGAAGCUGGUAAAGCACUGCACUUCUCGCAGUGUCCGGAGCGCCACCGACGGCCCUUGAAAAUCUGGGGGAGCAAUUACUGAUCUUGCCAGGUCGUACUCAUAACCGCAUCAGGUCU
rnacentral:rRNA from 10 species